CACUCGGGCUCCGGCACGGCAGAACGGAAUGCUGCCCAACGACAAGUGUGAUUUCGCCCGCAACGUUGCUUUCCGAGUGCACAAAUGCAAAAUCAUUGGAUGGAGUCGUGUGAUGGCCGUGAAAAGAAGAAUACCCCAACUGGCGAAGAGGCAGCAAGGAAUACGACACACUUAAUUGGGACGCCAGACGCUGAUGGGACAAGAGGCCCCCUUCCCGAUAGCGAGCGUCCACUUGACCCAGCACAUGGCCUUUUGGCCCCUGGAUCCCAUGGUGGCCUGGUUUGGCCUGAUGGCUUGGACCACUUCAUCCCAGCGCCAUAUUAGGUCCCGAACGCAGUCAGAAAAACUCAAGAAAUUCAUGGACGGUGACCGCGGGCCGCGGCGGCAGACAUCCAAGGACGAAGAGCAGCCACUUCGACCACCAGUUUUCCAUGUUUUUCG